rnacentral:rRNA from 1 species
GAUGAACGCUGGCGGCGUGCCUAAUACAUGCAAGUAGAACGCUGAAGGAAGGAGCUUGCUCUUUCCGGAUGAGUUGCGAACGGGUGAGUAACGCGUAGGUAACCUGCCUGGUAGCGGGGGAUAACUAUUGGAAACGAUAGCUAAUACCGCAUAACAGUAGAUGUUGCAUGACAACUAUUUGAAAGGGGCAAUUGCUCCACUACCAGAUGGACCUGCGUUGUAUUAGCUAGUUGGUGAGGUAACGGCUCACCAAGGCGACGAUACAUAGCCGACCUGAGAGGGUGAUCAGCCACACUGGGACUGAGACACGGCCCAGACUCCUACGGGAGGCAGCAGUAGGGAAUCUUCGGCAAUGGACGGAAGUCUGACCGAGCAACGCCGCGUGAGUGAAGAAGGUUUUCGGAUCGUAAAGCUCUGUUGUAAGAGAAGAACGAGUGUGAGAGUGGAAAGUUCACACUGUGACGGUAUCUUACCAGAAAGGGACGGCUAACUACGUG